rnacentral:rRNA from 1 species
CCCUUAGAUGUUCUGGGCCGCACGCGCGCUACACUGAUGCAUUCAACGAGUCUAAAACCUGCUCUGAUAGGGGUGGGUAAUCUUUUGAAUGUGCAUCGUGAUUGGGAUAGAUGAUUGCAAUUUUUCAUCUUCAACGAGGAAUGCCUAGUAAACGCAAGUCAUCAGCUUGCAUUGAUUACGUCCCUGCCCUUUGUACACACCGCCCGUCGCUCCUACCGAUUGAAUGAUCCGAUGAAUAUCUUGGAUUGAGGAUGCAAGCAGGUUCGCCUGUCUUCAUCUUCGAGAAGUGAAGUAAAUCUUAUCAUUUAGAGGAAGGAGAAGUCGUAACA